CCACUGUUACCGCGGCGCAGACUGCAGAGUGCAGAAUCGGCAAGAUGUGUAAUGUGAGUAGAGCCCUGCAGACAAGUGCAAAGUCGGGUUGAACUCGGUAUAAUAUACUGCUGUCGUAGCAACUGUCCCAACCCGUUUGUCGAAAGGCAAACUCAAGUUGAAUUAAAAUGGAAAGCUAAUUGUUAACAGAUACUUGCAAAUCUACAAGUUGAUCUCAUAUUACGACUGUUAAACUUGAAUAGAUAACGAUUUGUAAUGGUUGUUGCAGCUGAUUAGCCUCUUAGCAUCAACGUAAAAAGAGGGUUAGGUCAGGUUAGGCCAAUUUCUGGGCUGAGCGCUG